GACGAACGCUGGCGGCGUGCUUAACACAUGCAAGUCGAACGGAAAGGCCUGCUUUCCCUUGUGGAUUGCGGGUACUCGAGUGGCGAACGGGUGAGUAACACGUGAGUGAUCUGCCCCCAACUUGGGUAUAGGCCUGGGAAACUGGGUCUAAUUCCCGAUAGGACUGCAGGGUGGUGCCUGUGGUGGAAAACGAUUUUCUAGUGGUUGGGGAUGAGCUCGCGGCCUAUCAGCUUGUUGGUGGGGUAAUGGCCUACCAAGGCGGCGACGGGUAGCCGGCCUGAGAGGGUGGACGGCCACAUUGGGACUGGGAUACGGCCCAGACUCCUACGGGAGGCAGCAGUGGGGAAUAUUGCACAAUGGGCGGAAGCCUGAUGCAGCGACGCCGCGUGGGGGAUGACGGCCUUCGGGUUGUAAACUCCUUUCGACCGCGAGGAAGCCACCUGGUUGGAAGGGUGGUGACGGUAGUGGUAGAAGAAGCACCGGCUAACUACGUG
rnacentral:rRNA from 1 species